rnacentral:rRNA from 1 species
UACGGAGGGGGCGAGCGUUGUUCGGAAUUACUGGGCGUAAAGGGCGCGUAGGCGGCCCGCUAAGUCGAACGUGAAAUCCCCAGGCUCAACCUGGGAACUGCGUCCGAUACUGGCAGGCUUGAAUCCGGGAGAGGGAUGUGGAAUUCCAGGUGUAGCGGUGAAAUGCGUAGAUAUCUGGAGGAACACCGGUGGCGAAGGCGGCAUCCUGGACCGGUAUUGACGCUGAGGCGCGAAAGCUAGGGGAGCAAACGGG